UAAGGAAUAUUGGUCAAUGGACGCAAGUCUGAACCAGCCAUGCCGCGUGAAGGAUGAAGGUCCUCUGGAUUGUAAACUUCUUUUAUCUGGGACGAAAACGGGAUUUUUAUCUCAAUUGACGGUACCAGAGGAAUAAGCACCGGCUAACUCCGUGCCAGCAGCCGCGGUAAUACGGAGGGCGCGAGCGUUAUCCGGAUUUACUGGGCGUAAAGGGCGCGUAGGCGGCGCGGUAAGUCACUUGUGAAAUCUCUGAGCCUAACUCAGAACGGCCAAGUGAUACUGCUGUGCUAGAGUGCGGAAGAGGCAACCGGAAUUCUUGGUGUAGCGGUGAAAUGCGUAGAUAUCAAGAGGAACACCUGAGGCGAAGGCGGGUUGCUGAGCCGACACUGACGCUGAUGCGCGAAAGCCAGGGGGGCAAACG
rnacentral:rRNA from 1 species